AUUAGUGAUGGCAUUUGAAAGAGUGUAGUUAGUUUCCACAGUAGAGGUCCUUCCUCAUACAUGAAGGAUGAGAUAAACUGCUUCUUGAUGUUAGAAGGACAGACUGCUGAUCACCAUAGAGCCAGGGCAAGGAAAUGACAACCGAUCCUCUCUCACUUCUCCUCAUGAAUCAUGUGAAGACAGAACAGCUGUGCCAACAUGUGUGGGACUUAGAAGAAAGCCAGGGACACAGAGAGAGCAGAGUUACGAGCUGAGAACACCGUCCGGGAAAACAGUAGUCCAGUGGUGACCCAUGUUAUGUACCCACAACCCACGGCUGGGAUCAACUGCCUAUGGAACUUUAGCACCACCAAUUUCAUCAUCAAAUACCAGCUGAGAAGGAGAAUGGAAUCCAUUACUGAAGAAAUUAAAGGGUCAUCUAUGGUAUCAGAAAA